rnacentral:rRNA from 1 species
AUUGAACGCUGGCGGCAGGCCUAACACAUGCAAGUCGAACGAGUGGCGGACGUGUGAGCAAUGUCUGGGACACUGCGCGGUGGAGGGGGAUAACUAAUGGAAACGGUAGCUAAUACCGCAUUCCAUCGGAUGUGCCCAAAUGGGAUUAGCUUGUAGGUGGGGUAAUUGAUCACCUAGGCGACGAUCCGUAGCUGGUCUGAGAGGAUGACCAGCAACACUGGAACUGAGACACGGUCCAGACUCCUACGGGCGGCAGCAGUGGGGAAUAUUGCACAAUGGGCGAAAGCCUGAUGCAGCCAUGCCGCGUGUGUGAAGAAGGCCUUCGGGUUGUAAAGUACUUUCAGUGAGGAGGCGUUACCCGCAGAAGAAGCACCGGCUAACUCCGUGCCAGCAGCCGCGGUAAUAC